UGGGAGGAUGAGUGGGAAUUUUCUUGAGA
rnacentral:piRNA from 3 species